rnacentral:lncRNA from 10 species
GGUGGCAAAGCCUGUGGAGUACUCACCUACCUGCUGCAUGAAGGCAGCAUGGAGGGACUGUGGUGGAUUAUCUGCAAAGAUGGCCAAAAUUCUCUCAUCCCUGCAGGCACAUACAAGGUUGUUGCAUGGCAUAAGUAAAGUGACAGUUAUAGGAUACAUGCAACUUUUCAGUGACAAAGAUCUGUGCAGCAUCGACAGUACUGCCUAAUGAGGUUUCACCAUAAUGAAGUAUCACAACCAGUUUACAGACCAGAAAACUGAGACACAGGAAGGGGUGGUGACUUGAGCAAGGUGCAUCAGCUGGAGUUUGCAGUUCACCCGCAAACCUCAGCGAUCCAAGCUCCCCUGGAUGACCAUCACUCACCAAGAAAAGAGCAAUAACAGGACCUGUUUUGCUAAUCCAGGACUGUUCUCCAGCACUAACUCUAAAUAAUCCCUUCUGCUAGAGUCCACUUUCUGGAACCUGUUGCCUCCGUUUUCAACGUUUCCCAAACUUGGUCCGUUGUGUGAGCUGGCUGAUAAAAGUUCCAGGGAGAAGACAUCUUACUCUUAUUGGAUCAUGCACAGUGCCUGAAGCAUUCUGUUGCAUGUAGAAGUCAGUAAAUUGCAGAUGUAAGAUUCAAAACCAGACUUCACAUCUACCGACUUCAGUGACCCUGAAAUUUGUUCACAGAGAGCAUUUAACAUAACUGUCUUCAUCAUCUCCUUCUCUACAUUAAAAAUUAUGG